GACGUAGGAGGCGAGCGUUGUCCGGAUUCAUUGGGCGUAAAGAGCGCGCAGGCGGCUUGGUAAGUCGGAUGUGAAAUCCCGAGGCUCAACCUCGGGUCUGCAUCCGAUACUGCCCGGCUAGAGGUAGGUAGGGGAGAUCGGAAUCCUGGUGUGAGCGGUGGAAAUGACGCAGAUAUCAGGAGGAACACCGGUGGCGAAGGCGGAUCUCUGGGCCUUACCUGACGCUCAGGCGCGAAAGCUAGGGGAGCGAACUGG
rnacentral:rRNA from 1 species